rnacentral:lncRNA from 1 species
AAAAAUCUACAGAUAAUGCUAUUCAGGUUUGGAGAUGAUGAACUAAACGUCUACUCAAAUUUGGUUUGAACAUGAAACUCUAUAACUUUGGUAUAACUUUAUGCAUUGCAAGUUUAAGUAGUCUUAAUUUUACAUGAUGCUUAUAACACAUGUUUUGAACUUGUGCAGAAGUUGCAAGAUGCAAUUUUGGAAACUCAAAAGAAUAUGAAAAUUAAGAUCUUCAGACUGGGAUCGAAAAUGGGUAUGCUUUCUUGAAUAUAGUUUCUGAACUUUACCAUAUAUGCUAUUUCAAUGAUAUGUCAGAUUAGUAGUUCUUUGUGUGUGUUCGAA